UCAUCACACAAUUUUUCAUAGUACAGACAUCAUUCAUGUACUGCAAAGUACAAAGCAUUCCCCCUUUGAUCAAAUAUAAGAAUGGAAUAGAAUCAUACAUGCAUUCAUGAGUGACUUUUGUGCUUAAUCUAGCUAGCAAAAUUUCUAAUGGGAGAAUAAUCUUUCUCAGAAUGAGACGCUGCUUAAUGUUAAGGAUGUCCACAACAAGGUCGAGGUGGUUGAAAAAGACUAGGAUGUUACUUGAGUUCUGUUUUGCAGGAAUGGACCAAAUUGAAAACAAAAACCAGAAGUGUCAUUAAAAGAUAAGGAAACUACAAAGAGUAGAAAGAUAAGAGAAUGAUUUUAUUGAAGAAAGAGAGAGAAGGGACUUACAUGGUGCUAUCUCUAUGAGACAAGCACAAGGAGUCAAUUGAGUUAACUAGGACACAUGUGUGAGCUUCUUCCACUCCCAGUUCAUGGUCCAGUUUUCCAGAUUCAAUGAGAUUUAAAUCCUCCAAAAGAAAUACAUAUUGUUCUUGAACUUCUCCUGCACUCUUUUCUCCUCCCACCAUGGCUGCCACAAUCUCCCACCGUUCUGGGUGGUUCUCAUCCACCACGGCCAAAGCCAGCUCAAACAACUUGUUCUCCUUCCAACUCCACCCACACAAACCCUUGGGAAAAUCAUCCACGUCGCUCGUUUUGGAUGUCAUCUUCACAGAACCAUGAGCAUUACCAUAAUUCAGUUACAUUAUGGAAGCGCCUGGGGCACUCAGAUGCCUGCAAUGACCACAAAAAUUGCCUUUUCUUUCGUGUUCUACAAAGGCUACAUGAGAUUAAUAAAACUCAAGCUAUGACGGUGAAAGGUUGAUUCUUAUGGCCGAAACAGAAAAAAGAUAACUAGAUAGAGACAAAAUGAGGUACCUCAAUGUUGAUUUCUUGCAAGAAUUAGCAUCUCCAUUUUAUUUUAUGUUAUUUUACUGUUUUUCCUAUUCAAAUUUCCUGCACUUGAAGUCGUGUGAUGGUAGCCGGCUUUAUGUGGAAAUUUAUAGCCAAUAACUGGAACAUGAAAGAAGAACGGUGACAAAUCUUCCGCAGUUUUUC